CUCAGAAAGUCAGCGACAUCUUGCUGCUGCUGGGCAAGAAGCUGGUGGUGUGGUCCUGGCUGACCAUGGUUCUUUUGGGAUUUGCACCAUUUUUACCCGUUUCACUGCUGUUUCCUUCCCCCAGGGCUUUGAAGGAAUCAUAGAACCAUAGGAGGAGAUAAAGGGGGCUUUACUUCACCUCCAAGCCAAAUACUUCUGAGAAAAAGAUCAUCCCUGCCAUCUUCCCAUGGCGCAGGAAAAGCAGAGAGAUACUGUUUCGGAGCCUGCAUCUUUUCUGAAGAAAAUUUGGAUUUAAGGCACACGUGCUUGAUUAAGAAGAACUUCCUGCAUUCUGGACUUUUGCUUCAGAGAGGUUGAGGAUUUGAAAGGUACAUUUUUGUACCCCAGGAUGAAAACAUGCCAGUAGAGCUAUGCGUAAUACCUGUUUAUAUUCUGCACAGGAAUUUAUUGUGUUUAUAAUAACCAGAUUGACAUCUAUGUUUUCAGUGACUACUUGGAUGAAAUAAAGAAUGAAGUGUUAGUGGCUCA
rnacentral:lncRNA from 1 species